CGCCAGACUCCUACGGGAGGCAGCAGUGGGGAAUAUUGGACAAUGGGGGAAACCCUGAUCCAGCGACGCCGCGUGAGUGAAGAAGUAUUUCGGUACGUAAAGCUCUAUCAGCAGGAAAGAAAAUGACGGUACCUGACUAAGAAGCCCCGGCUAACUACGUGCCAGCAGCCGCGGUAAUACGUAGGGGGCAAGCGUUAUCCGGAUUUACUGGGUGUAAAGGGAGCGUAGACGGCAGCGCAAGUCUGGAGUGAAAUGCCGGGGCCCAACCCCGGAACUGCUCUGGAAACUGUGAAGCUGGAGUGCAGGAGAGGUAAGCGGAAUUCCUGGUGUAGCGGUGAAAUGCGUAGAUAUCAGGAGGAACACCGGCGGCGAAGGCGGCUUACUGGACUGUAACUGACGUUGAGGCUCGAAGGCGUGGGGAGCAAACAGGAUUAGAUACCCUGGUA
rnacentral:rRNA from 1 species